GAUGAACGCUGGCGGCGUGCCUAAUACAUGCAAGUCGAGCGAACGGACGAGAAGCUUGCUUCUCUGAUGUUAGCGGCGGACGGGUGAGUAACACGUGGAUAACCUACCUAUAAGACUGGGAUAACUUCGGGAAACCGGAGCUAAUACCGGAUAAUAUUUUGAACCGCAUGGUUCAAAAGUGAAAGACGGUCUUGCUGUCACUUAUAGAUGGAUCCGCGCUGCAUUAGAUAGUUGGUAAGGUAACGGCUUACCAAGGCAACGAUGCAUAGCCGACCUGAGGGAGUGUUCAGCCACACUGGAACUGAGACACGUUCCAGACUCCUACGGGAGGCAGCAGUAGGGAAUCUUCCGCAAUGGGCGAAAGCCUGACGGAGCAACGACGCGUGAUUGAUGAAGGUCUUCGGAUCGUAAAACUCUGUUAUUAGGGAAGAACAUAUGUGUAAGUAACUGUGCACAUCUUGACGGUACCUAAUCAGAAAGCCACGGCUAACUACGUG
rnacentral:rRNA from 1 species